GUAGCGGCGAGCGAAACGGGAAGAGCCCAAACCAACAAGCUUGCUUGUUGGGGUUGUAGGACUCCGAUAUGGUAGUCUGUUAGUAUAGUUGAAGGAUUUGGAAAAUUCCGCUAAAGAGGGUGAAAGCCCCGUAGACGAAAUGCUGACAACACCUAGGAGGAUCCUGAGUACGGCGGAACACGAGAAAUUCCGUCGGAAUCCGCGGGGACCAUCCCGCAAGGCUAAAUACUCCCUAGUGACCGAUAGUGAACCAGUACCGUGAGGGAAAGGUGAAAAGCACCCCGGAAGGGGAGUGAAAUAGAUCCUGAAACCGUGUGCCUACAACAAGUCAAAGCUCGUUAAUGAGUGAUGGCGUGCCUUUUGUAGAAUGAACCGGCGAGUUACGAUUGCAUGCGAGGUUAAGUCGAAGAGACGGAGCCGCAGCGAAAGCGAGUCUGAAUAGGGCGAAUGAGUAUGCAGUCGUAGACCCGAAACCAAGUGACCUACCCAUGUCCAGGUUGAAGGUGCGGUAAUACGCACUGGAGGACCGAACCCACGCACGUUGAAAAGUGCGGGGAUGAGGUGUGGGUAGCGGAGAAAUUCCAAUCGAACUUGGAGAUAGC
rnacentral:rRNA from 1 species